CAUCGUCGGCGCACUUCAAAGCCUUGACAACGAGACCUCUACACGGCCCUGACUCCAAGAACUUGCGGUCCUGACAGGCUUGAAGAUCCAGGAUGGAAGGGGCAGCGUCGGCUCGUACGGCACCACCACGUUCGGCGGCCUUUUUGGCCAGAUCUGCGUCGCCGGUGGUACCGUCCAAGGACAGAGCAACUUCUGCCCCCGUGCCCUGGGUCGAAGGAGCUGAACACACCCCUAGCUUCUGUCUCUUUGGGUGACCUCCGACUCCCUUACUACCUAUGGCACCACCAUGGUCGACGGCAUGACCAGCGCCGCCGGUGGUACCGUCCAAGGACAGAGCGACUUCUCCCCCCGUGCCCUGGAUCGAAGGAGCUGAACCUAUCCCUAGCUUCUGUCUUUUUGGAUUAAUUUGGACCCCCUUGCUACCUAAUUUUUGCGAGAGUACUACUUUUAUAGGAGGGAGGAGCAGAACACGGGGUGCAGCUGGUCAAGACACAGUCAAAAGUCCUGAGCCGGCCCGAAGGAAAGCUUUUUUUUUUGGCGGGUGCCCGAAGGAAAGCUUUCAACAACAGCUGCCCAGACCCUGCCACACGUAGAGCUUUCAACGCCAACAGCUGUCCACGACUACCAUAAUAAGGAAGCAAAUAGAGGUCGCGGAGCAAGAAAUCCGAUUGUCCUCUUUUCUUAUCUUGUUGGAAGGACAUUAAUUGGUUUUCUGAUCCGUUGUGUAGGCGUAUGUGGUGUAGUAUCUCUCCCUAAUAAUAAAGCACAGAUUGGGUUUUCGGGUUCACCGUCGCGGCCUUUUUACACAAAGCCCCCCUGAAGUUUUGGAUAAUUAACCCGAGCUGCAGAUCUAAGUUAGUAAUAAAGUAAAAAUAAGAUUCGAUUGUUCACGGGACAUGGAGGCUGCUUCGCCACAAGGGAUCCAACUUCUCGCUUCGCCACCCCAGUCUCCACCUGCCCCAAUCUUCAGGCCGUCGUCCCCAACCCACCAGGAGAUCGGGGUCGACUUCGUCGCUGGUGACGGCGCCCUCGCGUUCGGCUCCGGCAUCAGGGGCCUGAACAUGUUAGGGUCGUUCGAGCUGGUCCUCCUCCUGCUCCUCGUGCUGCUCUUCCCCUCCCCCGCCCCCGCCAGUGUCGCCUCGCUGUGCCCGCUCGCGGCGACCUCCAACGCCUCCUCCCACACCUACGCCCGCCCCGUAUCCCACCUUCUUCGACGAUGUCGUCGACAAGUAUGGCUGGGACACCGACGCCCAGGUCCAGGUCUAGCCACUCGACGCCGAGGGCGCGCUCGUCGGCGCCGUGCAACGCUACGAGUUCCACGCCCACGCGAGGGGCACCGCGGUCGCGCUGGCGCGGGCCAACCGACGGGGCCGUCGAUUGGGGUCGCUCCGACGCCCCCACGGUGGAGGAGGUGGUCGGGCCCGACGGGGUCGACUUCGUCGCCGGCGAUGACGCCCUGGCGUUCGGCUCCGGGGUCACGGACCUAAACAUGGUAGGGCCGUUGGAGCUGGUGGUCUCCAAUGGCGCUGGCGAGGGCCUCGCAGAGCUCGAGUUGCUGUCGAUUUGCAGGUAGAUUUGUAAGGAUAUGCAACAAAAUUGAACAUCAACACCUUCAGUGUGUGAGGUGUGCGUGGAUGACCGAUAUGUGUGAAGUGCGUGAGGAUAGCUAUAUUCACAUUCUUCCAAUUUCGAGAGAGGAAGAUAACUCAGUAGUACUGCCAAUUUUGGCACGCAAUGUUCAUUUUUCAGAUUCACCAUGAUUGGUAAUGUUGUUUAGUACUGAAAACUUUGUCAUGGUUCAAUAAAUAGGCAGUUAAUUUUGUUGUUAGAAAGGCAAAGCAGUGCUACAAUAGCAUGGUUGAUUUUGGUUGCUAGAAGGAAAAGCAGUGCGACAAAUUUUAGAACUAGGAUGUUGUUUUUCACAGUUCAGUCAAGUAUUGCUUAUUUGCAUUGUACAAUCACAAUUCUAAGCUUAGGCUUCUUUUAGUUGUGUAGCAUUGUAGAACUAGGUCCGUUUUUCCUAGCAGAUCAACACAUUUGGUCGGAUUUAGCUUAUUUGAUAAUGAGCAAACAAUAAAUGGUGUGAAUAUAUGCGGAGUUGAUGGAAAACAUUGAAGCCAGUAGUUGUAUACCUAUUUCGAAAAUCAGAAUUGGUUAGUAACAUUCUACAUCAUGGUAUUACGGUUUACAGUACUAAGCUUGAUGCUUUGUAUGGUUCUUUAAUACUAAGAUUAAUAGUGACGUUGCUGCUUGAGUUACUUUGGAUUUAACCUUGUUAUGCCAAUGACAUAUAUAGGUUUCUCGGUUUGCUGCGCUGCUCUUCACAGUCGUGCAGCUGGCCAUCGCCGCUAGGGAUUUGUCGUCCAAGGCAGUCAAUCCUUUCCUGUAAACUUGCAGAUGGAAAUCAUCAUUUUCUCUCAUGUUACUUUAGGAAACUUUGCUCUGUCAUGUAGCACUCAGUUUUUUAAAAACAUACUAUAUAUGUAGCCCUCAUCAACGUUGUGCUGGGCCAUGAGUGGGCUUCCUCGAUUAGCAAAAAAGAGGUGUUGAUGUGGGGGAUAAGUUUACAGUCAAUUGAGUUUGCUUACGAUUGGGCUUGAAAAAAAGGGUUCGUUUGUUUAAUAUAGUCUGGCCUUGCUCCCUUUACAUAUAUACCCAUGAGUUUAUAUAUGUCCUCGAGUUACACAGAGUAUCAACAAGCCUCAUCGGGUAUCAACGGGCAGAGGCUGAGGACUGGAUAACGAAGGAAUGGAAAUGGUGGGCUAAUUAAAUGGAAUUUGUGAAAUGCAUGAUUUAAGAAGUUGGUUGCAUGGAAAUUAUAUAUGUAAGAAAUUAUGCUUGAUUACUGCUGAAUGGCUCUCUCGGCAACAUGGGCCAGCAGAUCUCAUCACCAUGCCGCAGCCAAGAUGGAGCUGGGAGGGAAUUACUGAAAGAAUGUCCCAAACACAAAAUUCUAGAUUCUCUACUGAAGGCAUAUAGGUACACACAGAUCUUAGUUGGAAGACCAUCCGCCAUCGUCUCCGCCGACUUUUUGCCGGAAGACCAUCAGUCGUCACCUAGACCUACUUCGCCGCAUGUAUCUUUUUUCUUUGUGCAAAUUAUGACGGAGCUAUGUCUGAUUUACAGUUUUUACAACCAGAGUUUACUGAUGGUUAAACUAGCAAUUUAAAUUGAUGUGAGCAAGUAUUUAACACAAUUGGUCUGUUGGCAUAGGCUCAAGCAAGCACCUCUUCGAUCUAUAUUGUUGCCAUUUUGUUUCCUUUGUCAAACUAGCUGCAACAAUAAUGUUUUUUGCUGUACAAUAUGGGCAUAGAGCCAUUUGAUACAAUAAUGUUGUCAAUUGAUUCCUGUUGUAGUGCUUCUUGCUGUAUGGGUUGGUAUAGCUGAUUCGUUAAUGUGUUCACUUAAUUGAUUCCUGCCGCAGUACUCAUUGAUUCCUGCCGUAGUACUCACUGAAUCUUGACCUACGUCUUAUUAUAUAGCCCAUUCAUUCGUCACCUGCCAUAGAGCAUAGUGCUCCUUGCUAUACGAGGGACCUGGUGAAACUGUGCAAAUAAUUAACAAACCAAACCCCACCUGGAUAGUGCUACAGAUUUGCUUAGUGGGCAGGAAUAACUGGAGUACUAUUUCUUCUUUAAGGGCGUAUUUCGGAGGGGAGCAUACACAUUACCUUGAUUGAGUUGAGUUUCGUGUUCUGCAUUACUGUUAUAAGUUACCAGCAGCAAAGAAAGAGAGUCAUGUACUAAUAGCUGAUAAGGUAGUCUGCUGUUGCAGAUCAUCUGGUUAUUCAUUUUCCCAUACAAGUGUUACUAAACUCUACUAAGUUCUAUAAUGACACAAGAUUAACUUGUUACAGGACAAGUGUACCGAGUAAUAGCAGCAAAGAAAGAGAGUCAUGUACUAAUAUCUGAUAAGGUAGUCUGCUCUUGCAGAUCAUCUGGUUGAUCAUUUUCCCAUACAAGCGUUACUACACUCUACAUUUGCGUAGAGUAAUAACACAAGAUUAACUUGUUACAGGACAAGUGUACAGAGUAAUGAGUAUGGACAGAAAAUUUGUUUC